AUGAACAACUUUUCCAGGGAUUUCAUGGCUCUCCAAUCCCAGUUCUCUCAUGAAAAUGCUAAAGAAACAGAAAAUGCCUUUCCAGGAAUUGUCAGGGAUCUAACUACAGAUGCGACUCAUUCAUUUAGAACAGUAAGUAGUUGGAAAAGGACACAAUAAUGUUCCCAGUUUGGCAUUUGUUUACCUCAGAGCUGCUAACAAAGCUAAUGUGACAACUAUUAAAAAGGAAAAUACUUUCCUUGCCUAAUUGAUGUAAAGAAUCGAAAAUGAUCAAAAUCCAAACCGAAUUUCAAUUAUUCUUCUGGCACGUACAUUUCUCAAGACUGUGAUGCUUUUUAACUUUGCUUCAUUAUCAUUUUCCAAUUGCUCUGUGGUCUUUGUAUUUUUUUUUAAUGGCAACUUGCGUCUUUAUUACUGCAGCCGUAACAUUCCAACAAUAAGCUGUGUCAUUUCUCAAGCAUUUCCCUGAGUUCCCAAUCAGCAGAGUUAUGUAAGGUGGCAGGUUAAUAAAUGCGACACACUGAAAUCAUUUGUACCAGACUACCUCUCCUUCCAAGCUCUGACAGAUGCUAAGUCCAGCUGGUAAAAAAAGUUUAUAGGCGAGUUGGAUCUGGGGUCUUCACACACUCCACAAUGUUGGCUACCAAUGCUUGUUUUAAUGAGUCACGGAUUGCCUGUUUAUCUUCUGCUCCCUGCUGUUUCUGCAUUUUCUCUUCCAGAACAAUCCUAGAAACACAUGCUGCUACAGACGCUGGAGCAAUGUGUGUAGACAUUUGAGCCAAAUUGUUAUAAAGAACUCUUUCUUCUCUGAUAUGAAAAAAGGAGCGAGAAUUGCACAUUGCCUAGCAAAUCGUUAUCUCAGAUGUUCGCUGUGACAUGCUCAAUAUGGCCUACCAGAAAAAGUUGGAGACAUUUGCAACCUUAACAACUACACAAAAUGACACUGUAAUUGGCGGGUUUUGUUGUUCAUGUUCUGGCUCAGCUAAAAC
rnacentral:lncRNA from 1 species